AGAAAAAGUUGCGUGAAACUCAGUAGUACUGAAAAUAAACAGUUGUACUUCUCUGUGAGUGCAGUUAAACUGAUUCAAAUCUCAGAGUUCUACUGGAAGAGUCGAUAUAAAGCUCUUGUAGUUGUUCAACUGUCUUUUGAGUGGGCAAAAAUUUUCACAUAUCAUGUUUAUUGAUCAUGAUUUUUUUUUUCUUGGACUGUUAAGAUCAGUACACACUUUGCCUCUGACCUCUACAAAAAAGCAGAGAAUCUCAUGGUGUGAAGUGCAUGUGGUCUAUAAAGUUCAUGAAGAAGGAACCCUUUCUGUUGUUUGUGACACAGUCCUACAUACAGUAGAACCGGACACAGCAGAGUCUCAAAAAGCGUAUGUCAAAUGAAUGAAGAAAGGAUCAACUGACUUUAUCCUUUUUUUCUAACUUUUUAUCAUUUUCUUCUCUUUUCUACUUAUUUGUAUUUUAUCUUAUUUCUUUUAUAUGCAAUUGUGAAAUCCACCUCAAAUCAAAAGGACAUGGAAGGAAAUUUCAGAUUUCAGAUGCUUAAGGUGAAGAGAGAAGCUGGAAACCUGAAUUAUUUCAAUUCAUUCACCAGCUAUUCACUGACUUUUUACCAUGUAUAAAUCCUGAUUGACCUCAAAAAGAGUUAUAUUAAGUUUGAUUAUUACACAUCUUUAAAAAAAGAUAUCCAAGAUACAGCUAUCAAAAGAUGGCCCAGGAUCAACUGCCAAAUGAUCUAUGUGGCCCAUAUCUGAUGAUAGAGUAGGGAAUGCAAAAAACUACUUUCUUAUGCAAAAAUUAUACCUGUCACAAAGAAAAGAUAAGCAGGAGUACUGGAGUUUAUGGGACAUUAAAAAGAGUUCAUUAUUUUCUGAAGUCUAAAAGUUUUUUUUUUUCCGAAAGAUAAAAGAAAGUGAACAUGUAAGGGUUAAUCAAGAACCUGAGCAAACAUUCAACAGGUGGUAUUCUUUGUAGACUUCAAAGUCCCUACGAAUAUGUUUUUCCUAAGUAGUAAGAGGAGAAAAUAAGAAUUUAGUCUAACAAAGAAUAAAGACAGCUGCAAGCUAUGAAUAAACAUACCAGAGGAUACAAGCGUAUUAUGCUUAAGUUCUGUUCCAAGGCUUUCAUUUUUCUGAAAAUAUAAAUGAAGUUCAAUUAAAUUAAUAUUUUUGCAAUUUUUAUAAGAUAUUAUUUUUCUUUGUAAAAGCUGAUAUUGAGUACUGAAUUCUCUGAGAUCUAGCAGUCCACAUCUGGAAAUGAGUUACUACUUAAAGCAAGAACUAAUGGCUCCUCGGAGAAAACGCAGACGAUAAUGUCAACCGACCCCUAGAGGCCUUACUACAAAUCGAAUCUAGUUAAUGAAGAGAUGCUGGAUGUCACUCCAUACCUGUUUUUAAAGAUUAUAUACAGGUAUUUAAAAGACUUUUAUUUGGAGACACUCAUGCCUGGCUUGCUUUUCUAAAUGACAAAUGAGUCUUCAUUAAUCUUCAGGCAUAUUUCUGUAUUUCCAAGUCCUUCUUUCUCUCUCUCUUUCUUUCCCUCUCUCUCUCUCUUCCUUCCUUCCUUCCUUUUUUUCUUUCUUUCUCUUUCUUUUCUUUCUUUCUUUUUUCUUCUUUCUUCCUUUGAAAAAAUUGCCAAUUAGGUACUAGGUAUUUUCAAAUCUUAAACAGGGUUAUUUACCAUCUCUGGUGCCAAGCAAGCUGUGAGCUCCUUGUGUGCCCAUUGUACCCAGCAGCAGACACAACGUCUGGCAUAGAAGUAGGUGACUCAGAAAUGUGUGUUGCUUUGAAUUGAUUCUCUCUGUUAGUACAAAUGAUAUUUAGAAAAUGUUCUCGGCCCAGGAUGAGGCAGACAAUAAUAAAAACGCAUUUGACAUUUUUGCAGCUUAUAAUAAUUAACACAUACUUUCAUGCACAUUAUCUUAAUGAAACCUUCAAACAUUAGUGAGUGAGGCUUUAUUAUCAUUUACAUUGAUGAGGUGACUGAAUCUAAGGGACUUAAUGUAAUAAAGUAGAGGUUCAAAUUUAAUUCUUUUGAUUUCAAUCUCAAUGACCUUUUCAUUGACUCAUUGCUGCUUCUGAUUAUACAGAUAAUGAAGUGAAAAAUCAGUAACCUUUUAACACUUGUCUCUCAGUGUAGAAUUGUUGAACCUGAGAAAGGGAAAAGGCAUCAGAUAUAACUGCAACUAAUCAGUCAAAACCUUAGAAACUAGUUGAGUUAUGAAGGGAAUUGGGGUUGGGGGUGAGGCCUUGAUGUAUCAGCUCCUGGAGAGCUCCUUAAGCCAAAUCGCUAGACCAAUCAGGUGCCAGGAACAGAGAUCAAACCCAAAAAGGAGAGACAUUCUCUUGGCUGACAAACUAAGAGAGGUAGAAAGACCACUAGGAUGGUACCUAGGAUACGAGAUGAACCUUGUGAGAGCUGAGCAUAAAGUUUGAAGUGAGAAGCUUUCAUGGAGAAACACAAGAGGAAGUGAACAAGAUGGGAUCUGGUAGACAAACAGUUAGCUCCACUUGACUGGGCCUAACGACAGAGGUCUAGUUUAUUCCACACAUAGUUUCCAUCUUGAUGCACUGCUCAAGACUUGACAUCACUCUCAUUCAAAUGAGACAGGAGGAUAAAGAGGCAAUAUAAAUUAUUAACCUAAAAAAUGAUCAUUUUCUUUCUACUCAUCAGAAGAUACAUGGCAGUUAGCCUGGGAACCAUGACCUAGUAAAUGUAUGCUUUGAUAAAUAACCUAUCUUCCUAUUUGGAAAUAAGCAUAUGUUGGUGGAACUAUUUAAAGUUCUCCAGAGAAACAGAAUCAAGACAGUGUGUGUGUGUGUGUGUGUGUGUGUGUGUGUGUGUGUAUGUGUUUAUAUAUAAAUA